UGGGGAAUUGUUCGCAAUGGGCGCAAGCCUGACGACGCAACGCCGCGUGGAGGAUGAAGGUCUUCGGAUUGUAAACUCCUGUUGCUCGGGACGAAAAGCUCCGACCUAAUACGUCGGAGUCUGACGGUACCGAGUGAGGAAGCCCCGGCUAACUCUGUGCCAGCAGCCGCGGUAAUACAGAGGGGGCAAGCGUUGUUCGGAAUUACUGGGCGUAAAGGGCGUGAAGGCGGUCUGCUAAGUCGAACGUGAAAUCCCCGGGCUCAACCCGGGAACUGCGUCCGAUACUGGCAGGCUUGAAUCCGGGAGAGGGAUGCGGAAUUCCAGGUGUAGCGGUGAAAUGCGUAGAUAUCUGGAGGAACACCGGUGGCGAAGGCGGCAUCCUGGACCGGCAUUGACGCUGUAGCGCGAAAGCUAGGGGAGCAAACGGG
rnacentral:rRNA from 1 species